UACGGAGGGGGCGAGCGUUAUUCGGAAUCAUUGGGCGUAAAGGGCGCGUAGGCGGCUUCAUAAGUCUUGGGUGAAAGCGCUCGGCUCAACCGAGGAAUUGCCUUGGAUACUGUGAAGCUCGAGGGUGGAAGAGGACAGUGGAAUUCCCGGUGUAGUGGUGAAAUGCGUAGAUAUCGGGAGGAACACCAGUGGCGAAGGCGGCUGUCUGGGCCAGUUCUGACGCUGAGGCGCGAAAGCGUGGGGAGCAAACAGG
rnacentral:rRNA from 1 species